rnacentral:rRNA from 1 species
AUCGGGAGAACCCAACAGGGAUUACCUCAGUAACGGCGAGUGAAGCGGUAACAGCUCAAAUUUGAAAUCUGGCCUCACGGUCCGAGUUGUAAUUUGUAGAGGAUGCUUCGAGCAUGGUCUGGCCUAAGUUCCUUGGAACAGGACGUCAUAGAGGGUGAGAAUCCCGUAUGCGGCCAGGUGCCUACGCUCAUGUGAAGCUCCUUCGACGAGUCGAGUUGUUUGGGAAUGCAGCUCAAAAUGGGUGGUAAAUUUCAUCUAAAGCUAAAUAUUGGCCAGAGACCGAUAGCGCACAAGUAGAGUGAUCGAAAGAUGAAAAGCACUUUGGAAAGAGAGUUAAACAGUACGUGAAAUUGUUGAAAGGGAAGCGCUUGCAACCAGACUUGCGCGCGGCCGAUCAUCCGGUGUUCUCACCGGUGCACUCGGCCGUGCUCAGGCCAGCAUCGGUUUUGGCGGCUGGAUAAAGGCCCUAGGAAUGUAGCUCCUCUCGGGGAGUGUUAUAGCCUAGGGUGCAAUGCAGCCUGCUGGGACCGAGGACCGCGCUUCGGCUAGGAUGCUGGCGUAAUGGUUGUAAGCGGCCCGUCUUGAAACACGGACCAAGGAGUCUAACAUCUAUGCGAGUGUUUGGGUGUCAAACCCAUACGCGUAAUGAAAGUGAACGGAGGUGAGAACCCUUAAGGGUGCAUCAUCGACCGGUCCUGAAGUUUACGGAAGGAUCUGAGUAAGAGCAUAGCUGUUGGGACCCGAAAGAUGGUGAACUAUGCCUGAAUAGGGUGAAGCCAGAGGAAACUCUGGUGGAGGCUCGCAGCGGUUCUGACGUGCAAAUCGAUCGUCAAAUUUGGGUAUAGGGGCGAAAGACUAAUCGACCAUCCAAUGGC